rnacentral:lncRNA from 1 species
AAUUCUCCCUGCUCGCCUCGGCCACAGCAUUCAGUCUUGGCAGCACAAACAGCAGAUCAAUCAAUAUCACCUUGAGAAAUGUCUUCAACAGAAACAGCAACAGAUAUCACAAACAACCACCUCAACAUCAUCUCGUAUUUAUCGAGUAUGGCCAUACACCUAAAGCACUUCACAAUCAUGAGGGGGGUCUCUCCACACACGACCAGUGUGCAGCAUUUACUUGCAUGAUGCAACGGCACCCACAGGACAAAGAGGCAAGUGCGCUCACCACACGCCAGCUAUAGGUAGGUACACUCUUCCAAGAAACACAUAAUAUUUUAUUCUUAACAAUAUUUCAUUUAAUUAUAGUCAUUUUAACUAUUUAGUA